AAAUGAAGGAAGCAUAAUAACGUGCACAUAAAUUGAUUGUCUCUAGGCUUGCCAUAUUUUAUGCCUUUUGGCUUUGGUUUGAGAGCAUGAUUCCGCAGCAAAACG